GUGAAGUAUCGAGCGAGCCAGACGUGGAGAUCCCGAGAGUACAAGUGUGACUAGAGAGACACAGACAUUCGGUCGUGUAGCGGUGCGGCGAGCGGAUUACAGCUGCUCAAGGUAGAACGAAUAUUAUAGAAAAAAAUCUUGCUUUCACCUCGAAAGAUCUCUCGUUAAAAGCUUUCGUACGAUAGAGGAUGAGUGGCGCACGAUGGCGGAGGAUACCUGGGUGCAAGGUGCAUUCUUGGAGGAAGCAAAGCUAAUAUACAGAACAUAAUAUACACAGACACAGCGAGUUGAGAUACUUUUCAUCGUCGGAGCGUGAGCGCCGCACGGCAUUCGCUCACACACAUUGGUGAUGAACGAGAAGAACACGCGCACACUUGGCAUUAAGGAGCAGAAGGAGAAGAUCAAGCGUGCCGCUGCCGCUGCUGCCGCCGCCGCCGCACCACCGACUCGACCAACAGCUCCACCAACGGUGAAACAAAACUUGAGGCCCGUGCCGACUGCACACCGAUACAGAACACACACACGGCGGA